rnacentral:rRNA from 1 species
GAUGAACGCUGGCGGCGUGCUUAACACAUGCAAGUCGAACGAUGAAGCCCAGCUUGCUGGGUGGAUUAGUGGCGAACGGGUGAGUAACACGUGAGUAACCUGCCCUUAACUCUGGGAUAAGCCUGGGAAACUGGGUCUAAUACCGGAUAGGAGCGUCCACCGCAUGGUGGGUGUUGGAAAGAUUUAUCGGUUUUGGAUGGACUCGCGGCCUAUCAGCUUGUUGGUGAGGUAAUGGCUCACCAAGGCGACGACGGGUAGCCGGCCUGAGAGGGUGACCGGCCGCGUUGGGACUGCGACACGGCCCAGACUCCUACGGGAGACAGCAGUGGGGAAGAGUGCACAAUGGGCGAAAGCCUGAUUCAGCGACGCCGCGUGAGGGAUGACGGCCUUCGGGUUGUAAACCUCAUUCAGUAGGAAAGAAGCGAAAGUGACGGUACCUGCAGAAGAAGCACCGGCUAACUACGUG